rnacentral:rRNA from 1 species
UGGGGAAUAUUGCGCAAUGGGGGGAACCCUGACGCAGCCAUGCCGCGUGAAUGAAGAAGGCCUUAGGGUUGUAAAGUUCUUUCGGUAUUGAGGAAGGUUGAUGUGUUAAUAGCACAUCAAAUUGACGUUAAAUACAGAAGAAGCACCGGCUAACUCCGUGCCAGCAGCCGCGGUAAUACGGAGGGUGCGAGCGUUAAUCGGAAUAACUGGGCGUAAAGGGCACGCAGGCGGUUAUUUAAGUGAGGUGUGAAAGCCCCGGGCUUAACCUGGGAAUUGCAUUUCAGACUGGGUAACUAGAGUACUUUAGGGAGGGGUAGAAUUCCACAUGUAGCGGUGAAAUGCGUAGAGAUGUGGAGGAAUACCGAAGGCGAAGGCAGCCCCUUGGGAAUGUACUGACGCCCAUGUGCGAAAGCGUGGGGAGCAAACAGGAUUAGAUACCCUGGUAGUCCACGCUGUAAACGCUGUCGAUUUGGGGGUUGGGGUUUAACUCUGGCGCCCGUAGCUAACGUGAUAAAUCGACCGCCUGGGGAGUACGGCCGCAAGGUUA